rnacentral:rRNA from 1 species
CCUACGGGAGGCAGCAGUGGGGAAUAUUGCUCAAUGGUCGCAAGCCUGACCCAGCCAAGCCGCGUGAAUGAUGACGGCCCUAUGAGUUUUAAACUUCUUUUAUAAAGGAGUACACUUAGUCCCGUGUGUCUUUUUGUAUGUACGGUAUCAAUCCGGACCGGCUAAUUCCGUUCCAGCAGCCGCGGUACUACGGAGGGUCCGAGCGUUAUCCGGAUUUAUUUGGUUUAAAGGUAGCGUAGACGGGUUGUUAAGUUUGUCGUGAAAGGCCGCGGCUCAACCGGGGAAGUGCAGUUCAUACUGGGGAACUUGAGUGCAGAUGAGGGAGGUGGAAUUCGUGGUGUAGCGGUGAAAUGCUUAGAUAUCACGAAGAACUCCGAUUGCGAAGGCAGCAUACUGGACUGCAACUGACGUUGAUGCUCGAAAGUGUGGGUAUCAAACAGGAUUAGAUACCCGAGUAGUC